CACAUCACGUUGGAACACCUGUUCCAUUACAAUCGCCGAAGUUAAGCAGCGCUGAGCCUGAUAAGUAACUAGAUGGGUGACCGCUUGGGAAUACCAGGUGCUGUAGG